rnacentral:rRNA from 1 species
GAUGAACGCUGGCGGCGUGCUUAACACAUGCAAGUCGAACGAUGAAGCUCAGCUUGCUGGGUGGAUUAGUGGCGAACGGGUGAGUAACACGUGAGUAACCUGCCCUUAACUCUGGGAUAAGCCUGGGAAACUAGGUCUAAUACCGGAUAGGAGCGCCUACCGCAUGGUGGGUGUUGGAAAGAUUUAUCGGUUUUGGAUGGACUCGCGGCCUAUCAGCUUGUUGGUGAGGUAAUGGCUCACCAAGGCGACGACGGGUAGCCGGCCUGAGAGGGUGACCGGCCACACUGGGCCUGAGACACGGCCCAGACUCCUACGGGAGGCAGCAGUGGGGAAUAUUGCACAAUGGGCGAAAGCCUGAUGCAGCGACGCCGCGUGAGGGAUGACGGCCUUCGGGUUGUAAACCUCUUUCAGUAGGGAAGAAGCGAAAGUGACGGUACCUGCAGAAGAAGCACCGGCUAACUACGUG